AAGUCGUAACAAGGUUUCCGUAGGUGAACCUGCGGAAGGAUCAUUACCGAUUUGAGCGAGCCUGGUCUUCUUGACCAUGGUCUCGCGAAAAUUUUGUAUUUAAAACCCCACUCUUGUAAUUAAUAAAUGUUAUAUUAUGAUAAAAAUAAAGAUCACUUUCAACAACGGAUCUCUUGGCUCUC
rnacentral:misc_RNA from 1 species